rnacentral:lncRNA from 1 species
GUGGUAGCAUUUUAAACCUCAUGGUUACUAUAUAUGAUGAUUGAUUCAUUCGUUGGUUCUCUUUGGGGUUUUAUCAUACCUUCCUAUGUUUAUGAGAUAUUUUCCUAGUUUGGUUACUCUAACUGUGUUCCAAAUACUUUGAUUUACGCUUUAUUUUACCCUUGGCUUAGGGGUGCAAUAAAACUUAUUAUAACUGGACAAUAUGAAAAGACAGUUUAUCAACCAUAAACUUAUUCUCUAAA